CCUACGGGAGGCAGCAGUGGGGAAUAUUGGGCAAUGGGCGCAAGCCUGACCCAGCAACGCCGCGUGAAGGAAGAAGGCUUUCGGGUUGUAAACUUCUUUUGUCAGGGAGGAGUAGAAGACGGUACCUGACGAAUACGCCACGGCUAACGACGUGCCAGCAGACGCGGUAAUACGUAGGGGGCAAGCGUUGUCCGGAUUUACUGGGUGUAAAGGGCGUGUAGCCGGGUUGACAAGUCAGAUGUGAAAUCCUGCGGCUUAACCGCAGAACUGCAUUUGAAACUGUUGAUCUUGAGUACUGGAGAGGCAGAUGGAAUUCCUGGUGUAGCGGUGAAAUGCGUAGAUAUUAGGAGGAACACCAGUGGCGAAGGCGGUCUGCUGGACAGCAACUGACGGUGAGGCGCGAAAGCGUGGGGAGCAAACAGGAUUAGAUACCCCUGUAGUC
rnacentral:rRNA from 1 species